UAGGUUAAAUGGUAAAAUAUUAUGUAUGUGUAGAAAAUAUUUCAGUAGAGGAACUAGCAACAGUAUACUGAAGUAAAGGGAAGGUUGAAGGCAGGCAAAUAUAUAAUCCUGGUGUCUUUCUGAGAAGAAGGCCAAUGUUUACUGAAAGGGAUGUGUUGUUGAAAAAAGACUUUAAAAUUUAAAUAAUCCACCCUAGUAUUUACAUUAGAAAUUGAUCACAAGUACAAAUCCCUUGAACAAAUGGUCUUUAUAACAUCAGAGAAUAAGCCUUAUUCUUCUCCCUCCACUGGCUAUAAAAUGUAUUUUAUGGGACCUGUUCUUCUCCUAAUACUAAGUGGAAUUUCAUGUUGCACUACUUUCUGUUGACUUUCAAAAGAAAAAUAAAAGCCCUCUGGUCACAUUAGUCUCACAAAAAUGACUUUGAACUUCAUUUAAACUGAAGCUUCUUUCCUCCCACUACAACAUAUCCAAAUCUUCCAGGUGGGAAAAAGGGUUCAGGUGGUUUGUUUAUGCUCUACUCUAGCUUCUCCUGGCCUCUCUCCCUAGCCCCACUCCAGCUCUUCCCACAGAGUGAAGCAAGGCUGCUUCUGUGUCCUCCGGAGUUGAAACUUGGUGUGGGAAGUUAAGGAGGCAGAAAUGGAAAUGUUUCUAAGGAGAUACAGGCCAAGAAUGAUUUAGAUGUAUGUGUGGGCCUAGAGGAAUGUUCAUGGUACACAGUUGAAUGAAUACAGCAACAAGGGCUCCUGUAUAUUCUAUUGAAGCAACUCAAGGUGGGUUCCUGGGAUGGCUCCUAGAUGGCAGCUAGUCACCAGAAAGACCAAGCCAUGAUUAGAAGCUUGGAAUUUUCAGCCUUACCUCCCUCCUCAUCUUCCAGUGUGGGGUGAGAGGCUAGGAAUAGACUUAAUAAUUGAUCAUGUCUAUGUGAGGAACCCUCCACAAAAUCCCAAUAGUAGUGGGCCCAGAGAACAUCCAGGUUGGAGAACACACCCUUAUACCAGGAGGGUGACAUACUACAUCUCCACAGGGACAGAAGCACCUGCACUUAAGAUCCUCCCAGACCUUGCCAUAUGUAUAUCCUCAUCUGGCUAUUCAUCUGUGUUCUUUAUCAUAUCAUUUAAUAAACUUGUAAAUGUAAAUAA